rnacentral:rRNA from 1 species
UACGUAGGGCGCAAGCGUUGUCCGGAAUUAUUGGGCGUAAAGAGCUCGUAGGCGGUUUGUCGCGUCUGCUGUGAAAACCUAAGGCUCAACCUUGGGCUUGCAGUGGGUACGGGCAGACUAGAGUGCGGUAGGGUGACUGGAAUUCCGUGGUGAUAGCGGUGGAAUGCGCAGAUAUCAGGAGGAACACCGAGUGGCGAAGGCAGGUCACUGGGCCGC